rnacentral:rRNA from 1 species
CCUACGGGAGGCAGCAGUGGGGAAUUUUGGACAAUGGACGCAAGUCUGAUCCAGCCAUGCCGCGUGCGGGAAGAAGGCCUUCGGGUUGUAAACCGCUUUUGUCAGGGAAGAAAAGGUUCUGGUUAAUACCCGGGACUCAUGACGGUACCUGAAGAAUAAGCACCGGCUAACUACGUGCCAGCAGCCGCGGUAAUACGUAGGGUGCAAGCGUUAAUCGGAAUUACUGGGCGUAAAGCGUGCGCAGGCGGUUAUGCAAGACAGAGGUGAAAUCCCCGGGCUCAACCUGGGAACUGCCUUUGUGACUGCAUAGCUAGAGUACGGUAGAGGGGGAUGGAAUUCCGCGUGUAGCAGUGAAAUGCGUAGAUAUGCGGAGGAACACCGAUGGCGAAGGCAAUCCCCUGGACCUGUACUGACGCUCAUGCACGAAAGCGUGGGGAGCAAACAGGAUUAGAUACCCUGGUAGUCCACGCCCUAAACGAUGUCAACUGGUUGUUGGGAGGGUUUCUUCUCAGUAACGUAGCUAACGCGUGAAGUUGACCGCCUGGGGAGUACGGCCGCAAGGUUGAACUUAAAUGAAUUGACGG